rnacentral:lncRNA from 1 species
CCACGUUCUCCCCGUUGCAUCCGCCAAUGAAAGCUGCACGAGCAAAGAGCUAAUCAUAUCGAUUGGGCUCAACUUAAAUGAAAAAUACUUCUAUGGAUCAGACCUCAAAGAUAUCUACCAGGGUCAUGUCACGGUCAGCAACGAUGCAAUCCGGUUGAUCCCAUGUCCCCAAGUCGCCGUUCACUGAAAUUUCGUGUAGUCUUGUGACGAGAUUACCUUUUUUUUUUUUUUUUCUUCUUCUUUUUUCUUUUUGGGUUGAUAAGAUUGUGAUGAGAUUUCUUAAUCUCAUUUAUGGGCCCUUGAAAGAGUCAUAAAUUUAUAGAUAACAUCCAUCUUCUCCGCCCAUCGCCAAAUGAAGCUUCCACGCUCUAGUUUUCUACCAUCAACCGUCAUGGUAGCUGUCACGUAACCCACCGGCCUCCUGCGAUUCUCCCACUACCGAGAUCCAAAUCCAGCACUCGACGCCACGUUCAAACGGUUCGGAUCCUUCCCGUACAUUUCCCCUUCACUCGCUGAUGCGUGGGCCCACACGUGUGCGAGAUAGGCUGCCGGAACCGUGCGUACCUGACUACCAAAUCAACCACCGCUAAUGCCGGCUCCCAGACGCCUACCGCGUGCGAGUCCACUCGUGUCUUUUUCCAAUUGGCUGCCACCGAUGGACACGCCAUCGCAGGUAUGGAAUAGGCGGCACGUAAAGGCAUCAAGCGCCCUCUCCGUCAAACUCCGCGUCUCCUGCCAUUACUUCGCCGCGGCCUUCCUUCGCCUCACCGUCCAAUCUCCACCGUCCGCUUUGCGAUCCCGCGGCGGUCUACCCACCUCCCCGGUAAUAAAUAAUCCCAAUAAUUGCGUUCCCCCCACGCGGGGGACAUCCUUUGCGCGCCAGUCCGGGCCCCACCGAAAUCGCCACGUAUCGCUCGAGGACUGCGUCGGUUCAUCGGGGCGGUUCAAGAGGGGCGGUGGGCCACGCGCCUCUACCGCCCGCUCCGUGAUCCGAGUUACACGGCGCGGGAAGCGAACGAUGCCGACAGAUAGUACGGGCGGGCCCCAACGAUCGGAGACGCCGCCAGGACGCGCCGUUACCGCCGUCUGUGACCUGCCCCACCCCCCGUCCUCGUCGAACCCCUCGCUGGCCACCCGCCCGCGAUCCCCAGUUGACGGCCGUUACAUAGAAAGAGAAAGAGAAUGAGAGAGAGAGAGAGGGCGCCCCAGGUAUGCCGCCGAGCGCGUUUCUCGCUAGGCAGAGCGCCACGUACGCCCGGAUCCCCCAUCAAAAUUCGUAAAAUUAUAUAUUAUUAAACUAACGCCACUUUUCGGAUGCACUGAGACCACCCGAAGGGACGACCUGAUGAAGGAACCCGCUGCAUGUGGGCUUCACUGAUUUGCUUAUUUGAGGGGGAUCCGUCAGUUUACGACGUGUCUCGUUGUGGGUGGGUGCUGCUCUAGGUGGAUUUAGCGAGGUCUCAUUAAACCGCGCCACGUUGAAGACGAGGGCGGCGGCCAAGGACAGUCAAACCGCUCGUUGACUGCGCCGAAUAUUUUCAAUUUCUCCGCUCCACCACUCCCUCGUUCCUCUCCCUUUCUCCCUCUCUUUCUCCCUCUAACCAUCCAUCCGUCCAUCAAACGCCAUCUCCUUCUAUAAAUUAUAAGCCACCUUCGCUUCCCAUUUAGCCCACCUAUCGCCUGCCCUUCUUGGAAACCCCUUCUUCCCAAGAGCUAAAAAAAGGCAAACGAAACAGAAAGGAGAAGAGAGGGAAAGGCUGAGGAAAAAAAACAACGGGGAGAGAGGUAUAGAAAUUCUUGUCAUGGCCCCCAGAGAGAAGGCUGCCGGCGGAAGAGGCGUCUUGAGCGGAGGAGCGGCGGCUGGAGGAGGGAAGGAGGUGCAUUUCCGGGGAGUGAGGAAGAGGCCAUGGGGGAGGUACGCGGCGGAGAUACGGGAUCCCGGGAAGAAGAGUCGGGUCUGGCUGGGGACGUUCGACACAGCGGAGGAGGCCGCCAGGGCGUAUGACGCCGCCGCCCGCGAGUUCCGUGGAUCCAAGGCGAAGACCAACUUCCCCUACCCGGAAGCCUACCAGAGUGCCGGCGGCGGCGGCGACGGUAGAGGAGGCGGUGCUGCCAGGAGCCCUAGCAGCCAGAGCAGCACCGUCGAGUCAUCCAGCCGGGAGGCCGCCGUGCCGCCGAUGGCCCAUCCCCUCCCUUCUUCCCUGGAUCUCGACCUCCACCGCGGCGCGCGGUUCCCCUUCCAGCCCUACCCGACCGCCGUCCCCGCCACCGGCGUCGCGCCUUCAUUCUUCUUCCUCGACGCUUUUGUCAGAUCCGAAAAGGUCGCGGCGGCGGCGGCGGCGAACCACCACCACCUGACGAUGGGCACCCCGAUGUUCCUGGCCGAUUUCCAGGCCCCUCUCGCCGGCGGCAUCUCCAGCGACUCGGACUCGUCCGUCGUGGAUUUGCUUCCCCACCACCCCUCUCCUCCGCUGCCCAAGAUGCUGCCUUUCGAUCUGGAUCUCAAUCUCCCUCCUCCGGAGGUCGCCUGAUCUGCCAUCCACCGACGGCUGCUCGUGAUCUUUUUCUUUGCUUUCUUUCUUAUGGUGAAAGGGAAUUUUACUUUUUUUUUUUUUUUUUGCUAUUCUCUAUGUUUGUACUUUUUCUUAGAAAGCCAUCUGAGAGAAACUUAUGUACAUACUUAACUUUGUUUUUUCCAC